AGCUCCAAUAGCGUAUAUUAAAGUUGCUGCAGUUAAAAAGCUCGUAGUUGCAUUUCCGAGGCAAGGGAUUAGUCCGACCUUUGGUGGGAAUUUAAUCCUCUUGCCUCGUCCUUGAGUGGUGCUUCUUGGUAUUAAGUUAUCGAGGAGAUAGCCGCUCAUCGUUUACUGUGAGAAAAUUAGAGUGUUCAAAGCAGGCUUAUGCCGUUGAAUAUAUUAGCAUGGAAUAAUAAGAUAGGGCCUCGGUACUAUUUUGUUGGUUUGAGAACCAAGGUAAUGAUGAAUAGGGACAGUUGGGGGUAUUCGUAUUCAGUUGUCAGAGGUGAAAUUCUUAGAUUUACGGAAGACGAACUACUGCGAAAGCAUUUACCAAGGAUGUUUUCA
rnacentral:rRNA from 1 species